rnacentral:rRNA from 1 species
GACGAACGCUGGCGGCGUGCCUAACACAUGCAAGUCUACGAGAAACGGGUAGCAAUAUCCGGAGUACAGUGGCGCACGGGUGAGUAACGCGUAGGCAACCUUCCUUCAGGACGGGGAUAAUCUCGCGAAAGCGGGCCUAAUACCCGAUGACAUCUUACGGCAGCAUUGUCGUGAGAUCAAAGGCCCCCAAAGGGCGCUUGAAGAUGGGCCUGCGUCCCAUUAGGUAGUUGGCGGGGUAACAGCCCACCAAGCCUACGAUGGGUAGCUGGUCUGAGAGGAUGAUCAGCCACACUGGAACUGAGACACGGUCCAGACUCCUACGGGUGGCUG